rnacentral:lncRNA from 1 species
CCCCCUCUCUCACUCCUUCGUCUCUCUCAAACUCAGAGACCGGUUCCCAUGGAAAAACCCUAGCCGCCACCCCACCCCUUCGCUUGAAAGCCGGCGGCAACGACGCCGCUGGCCAUGAAAUUAACACCCCUGAACCACCAUGAUCCCCUCUCUCCAAAUCCACACUCAGCUUACCUCGAAUCUUCCCCGAACGUCUCGGAUCUUCAUUUGAAGGUUCGAGCAAAAACCUGAUCUACACCAACCGACCCCAAAUUUACACCAGUCACUCCCCUGACCUCACUCGUAACCAAACCAAGCUUGGUUGGGUUCGAAUCUAGGUAGAAUCCUUCGAGCCCCAAAUCGGACCGUGGGAACCCUAGAACUCAAAACCAUGGGGGUCUGUCCAGUUUAAAGGAAGAAUUGGGGUCUAAUAGACCUUAAUCGAGGUGUUCUCAGUUGAGGACACUUCAAUUAAAGUCCGUUCGACCUCAAAGAGGUCGAGUCCAGUUCGAGCAUGGGUUAUUUUUGUUCUUAAGCUUCUGAGGUAAUUUUUCCUUUCCUAUUUGUUCCGUUGGUGUUUGUUUAUAUCUGUUUUUUUUUGUUGUUUAAGGUGGUUUUAUUAAUUUUUCAAUUUUUGUCAAUUGAUCCCUGUGUCUAUCAAUAUGAAAUCACCUCUGUACUUGUUCGAGUCUAAUUAUUUGUUGUCGAUUGUAUGUGUUGUGAUUCGCGCAGUCGAUUCGAUAUAUGUCGUUGAUUAGUUUUACAGUCUUGAAUGUAGUAAUUUGAUCCAUCCUGCUUAAUUCUGAUUAAGUCAUUUGUCUGAAUUCAGUUGCGAACUGGUUAUAGGUUGUAGUUUGUUGGAUAGUUAGGGUCCAAUUGUUAGUUAGCUAAGUUUGAAUUGGUUAUAGCUGAAGAGAUUAAUACAGAUUGAAACAGGUGGGUAAGGCAGCAGUUUCAGGGACUUUUAAGAGGGUAUUUUUUUGAUUUUAAAGGAGUCUGAAAAUGGCUUAAUUUGAAUGGCUGUCAAUAGAGUAUUAAAAUACCAUUAAACUGAUACAUUGUUUAAGAAUAAUGGGGAAUAAGACUUAAUGACAUGGGGAGGUUGAUUAAAAUAAGUUAAAAUACCCAUAACUUUGAUUCAAAAGAGAAAAACAUGCGGUAUGGGGGCUGUCAAGAAUAUCAUGGGCAUUUUCUGAUUAGUUUUAGUAUGUUUAAGGGGUAUGGGCAGAGUUAAGGUCUGAAGGUAUCAAGGCAGCCCGGGGCUUGCCUACUUUGCCUAUAAAUAGGCUCAUUUAGAACAAAAUAGAGGUUGGUUUUUUGAUCCUGAGAAGCCAGAGAAAAGCAAGAGUGUUGAAGCUGGAGAUUUAACCUAAAACUCUAGAGAAAUAGAGGGAGUAGGCUAAAAAAAAUUACACUAAAGUUCAGUGGGUUUGAGAUUUAAAGAAGAAAAAUCUGCUUCCCUUUUACUGUUGAAAUCGGUAUUUACCUUUGUUACUGUUUCAUUGAGAGCUGUGGGAAUUUUCUGAAAGUCUGCUGGUCCAUCUCUUGUUGCAAACUCAAGUUUUGGUCAUAUUGUGGGUGUUUAUAUUGCUGUUGGUAUUUGGGUUGCAUUCUUGGAUUUUCUGGUGCAUUUGAUGCUGCUGUUUGGUGUUUUCUGAAGUUACUGUUGGGUUUUAAUCUAUUGCUGGGCUAUUUUAGCUACUGUUGUUGCUAUUUUGUUGUUUGCUACUGCCGCUGAUCCUCACCUUCCUCUGUUCUUGUUUCCAAUACCAGGUACACGACUUUAACAUGGCUGUUGUAAGCUGAAAAUGUGAAGCAUGAAUUCAUGUGAAAAGUUGAAGUUGAAAUGAAAACCAGAAAAGCAAUCUGUUUGUUUGAAACUUGUUGUUACUGUUUUAUUAAGUUCCUUAAAGCAUUAUUGAUUCUGUAAUUUGUAAAAAAAAUAGUCUCGUCAUUUUAGUUGUUUGUAAUGGGCUGCAGAAAACUGCUAUGCGUUAGAUCAUGUUAUUGGAAUAACGUAGUUUAGCACGUAUUCAAUCAGAACUUGACCAUGUAAUGGAUGUUGGAUAUAACUUUCGAUAAUUUGUAAAAUAGCACUUGUGGUUUGAUCCCUGAAAUAUCUAGUAGGUUGUUAACUAAUCUUGGAUUAUAGCAUGAUUGUUUGAGUUCUUGGUCAACUAGAUCUUAGCAUUAAUCUUACC